CACCGAUCCGCAGAAACGCACGCUGCUGUCCUCUGUUCUUUUCAAAAGUGAAACGAAUAAGAUUAAAACGAACAAAGAGAAACGUCUGUAAGUGUACCAUCGGGGUUAUUUUCUCAGAUAGGGAAGAGAGCGAGAGGGGAGAGAGGGAGAAGGACAACGAAUGGGAACACAAGGCACGCAUGAAAACAGCUCUGAAGAAAUGGUAAAGUGGACACUUGGACAUUCAAAGUGCGAGCGCCCAGCGACCGGUGGGUAUUACUUGGGAUCGGCGGUUUCUCAGUUGAAAGAAACGGGUGAAUCACCCAACUGCCAGUGUGGGGCUCUGUUGAAUGCCUGAUUAAGGUGGCCGUCACUGGGCAUGAAGAAAAACAGAUAUACAAAGAUGGGCAGCAAUGAGAUAUCCGCAGGCGCUUGGUGGAAAAACACAUGGUUUGAUUAUGCUUAUUGAUACACACACUUACACCCAUAGAAUGUAAAAACAGCACCUGCAUCUCUGUUUACACGUCACCCUCUUGUACUGUACAUAGAGUGUCCCUCUAUCAGUUCUA
rnacentral:lncRNA from 1 species